CUGGCGGCGUGCUUAACACAUGCAAGCCGAGCGAAGCACUUUGCAGAUUCUUCGGAUGAAGCAGAUUGACUGAGCGGCGGACGGGUGAGUAACGCGUGGGGAACCUGCCCCGUACCGGGGGAUAACAGUUAGAAAUGACUGCUAAUACCGCAUAAGCGCACAGUGAGGCAUCUCACAGUGUGAAAAAACUCCGGUGGUACGGGGAUGGACCCGCGUUGGAUUAGCCAGUUGGCGGGGUAACGGCCCACCAAAGCGACGAUCCAUAGCCGGCCUGAGAGGGCGACCGGCCACAUUGGGACUGAGACACGGCCCAAACUCCUACGGGAGGCAGCAGUGGGGAAUAUUGCACAAUGGGGGAAACCCUGAUGCAGCGACGCCGCGUGAGUGAAGAAGUAUUUCGGUAUGUAAAGCUCUAUCAGCAGGGAAGAAGACGACGGUACCUGACUAAGAAGCCCCGGCUAACUACGUGCCAGCCGCGGC
rnacentral:rRNA from 1 species